UACGUAGGGGGCAAGCGUUGUCCGGAAUCAUUGGGCGUAAAGCGCGUGUAGGCGGCUCGGUAAGUCUGCUGUGAAAGUCCAGGGCUCAACCCUGGGAUGCCGGUGGAUACUGUCGAGCUCGAGUCCGGAAGAGGAGUGUGGAAUUCCUGGUGUAGCGGUGAAAUGCGCAGAUAUCAGGAGGAACACCAAUGGCGAAGGCAGCACUCUGGGACGUGACUGACGCUGAGACGCGAAAGCGUGGGGAGCGAACAGG
rnacentral:rRNA from 1 species